CUGUAGCUAUUUAUGCUGACUGGACUCCUUACCUUAAGGAGCCUGGUCUGCAGUGGCUGCAAACAGCAGCAUCCUUGGUAAUGUACUAAGUCUGUUGCUUAUUUGGGUUCCCCUAAGGGUCCACUGGAGACAGGG
ensembl:snoRNA SNORA70 Small nucleolar RNA SNORA70